rnacentral:rRNA from 1 species
UACGUAGGGGGCAAGCGUUGUCCGGAAUCAUUGGGCGUAAAGAGCGUGUAGGCGGCCCCGAUAAGUCCGCCGUGAAAGUCCAGGGCUCAACCCUGGAAUGCCGGUGGAAACUGUCGGGCUGGAGUCCGGAAGAGGCGAGUGGAAUCCCUGGUGUAGCGGUGAAAUCCGUAGAUCUACGAAGGAACGCCAAAAGCGAAGGCAGCUCUCUGGGUCCCUACCGACGCUGGGGUGCGAAAGCAUGGGGAGCGAACAGG